UGCAAAUCCUAAAUUAAGGAUCUAUGGUGUGCGUGUCGAUCUUGCUUUAUUUCAAGUUACAGUUAGUGGCUACUGCCAGUACGGACUUAUGAUAUAUUCUGCUGAAGAACUGGACCCGGUAUCAUUUGGACAUCCUAAUGAAUCACCUCAGAAUGAACAACAGUCAAGGUAUGCACAGUAUACUUGGCACAAAUUUAUUUAGUUAUGGUUACAUGCUAUUUUUUGUAUUUUUGUAAUAAUGUAUAAGGUUUAUUGCAAAAGAACUCACGACCUUUAGUAAUUUGUGUGAUCUAACCAUAUUAAUUUGUGUGUAAUAAUGUAUAAGGGAUGGCAACGGGCCGGAUCUGGACCGGGUCUGGCCAAUACCAGAUCCAGAUCCGUUUUCAUAUACUAGAUCCAGAUCCGUGGAUCUGAAAUUUGUAUCCAGAUCCAGAUCCGUCAGAUCCGCGGGUCCACUGGUUAAAUGUUUCAUUUACUUUUUUAGAUUAAAUCAUGCAAAUUUAACAAAAUUGAGAGUUUGUAAUUUCCAUGAUGAUAAAUAUUGUACAGAUACUUUUAUCUAAUAGUUUUAGUUUUUAUUCUUUUAAAUAUAAUUUAUUUAUUAUUUUUAAUUUAGUUUAAUAUUAUUAGUAACUAAAUAUAAAAUAUAAAAAACAUAUAUAAAAUAAAACGGAUCAGGGUGGAUCUGGGCCGAUCCGGAUCUAAAAUUUCAAGAUCCAGAUCCAGAUCCGUUUUCAAAACUGAGAUCCAGAUCCCAGAUCCAGAUCCCAUCGGGUUCAAAAAAUUGAGAUCCAGAUCCGUAAAACGGUCUGGAUCCACGGAUCUGGACCGGGUCCAAGAUCCACUGCCNGUCAUGGUCCUACACAGCAGGGUUCUCUAACAGAUCACUCAUUCCCUUUCCUGGAGUCUUUGAAUGAGGUACUUCUGUAAAACCUCGAACGUUUAGUUUAUAAAAUAUGAGUGUGAAGAUUAAUCUCCCAUUGUUGGUGAAGAAUAAAAGUUUUGAGCUCAUGUUUUGCCUCUAGGUUCUGGAAACUAACAGAGCUGAGGAGUCUCAGAGUCACAUGCACAGGCUGUACUUUAUGGGUCCAAAUACAUUUAGUGAACCUUGGCAUCUUCCUCAUUCACCUCCUAGACAAGUUAAAGAAAUAGUGUAGGUUUUCUCUGUCAUUAUUGCUCUGAUCUGUUUGGCAAAUUAGAGCAAAUAUGCUGCAAUUGCUUAUUUUAUUAUUCAAAGUUGCAAAUACGAUUCAUUUUCUCCUUGCCAAUUAUAAGAGAUAUUGCUGAUUUAGAGAAAAUUUUACUUUUCUUAUGAAAUGGCAGAUAUGAGGGCGCAUAUAAUACAUUUGUGGAUGAGAUCAAUGUGCUUGCUGCCUAUCAGUGGUGGGAAGGGUCAGUGCAUAUUAUUCUUUGUGUUCUCGUUUAUCCUCUUGCAUGGUCAUGGCAACAAUGGCGACGAAGAAUUAAACUACAAAAAAUUCGAGAAUUUGUACGGUCUGAAUAUGAUCAUGCUUGCUUGCGCUCCUGCCGUUCACGUGCUCUGUACGAAGGAUUAAAGGUUAGUUUCUCAAGAAUCAUAUAUCAGCAGAAAUUCUCAUGGUGGAUGCCUUCAUUUUCUUGAAAAACUCAUACCAUUCUGGCACAAAUUCUGGGACUAACACUUUGGUGUGCUAUUGUUUUGUCCCACUAUUCCCAGAUAUAGGAUACUUUCCCUGAUUAGCAUUAACUGAUCUCAACUGUGAUUCAUGUUAUUGUCAAAUACCAGCUUUAGAGUCCCUUCUCAUAUAAUAUUUGUAAUGCAUGAAAACUUUGCUAAAAAUUUACAUGGUUCGUUGGGCUAGCAGGAGUUUUAUUUUGUGUAUAGGGUUAAGUAGCAAAUACACCCCUAAUGUUAACAACGAAAAGCAAAUAGAUCUCUGACGUUAUGUUUUGUGCAACUAAAUCCCUAACAUGCACAAAUUGGAGCAAAUAGGUUCCUAACUUUCACAAAUUGGGGUAAAUAAGUCCCUCCAUCUAAUGGUUGUUAACUUCCCGUUAAACGGAGUGCCCCAAUUUGUCUCAAUUUGUGAACGUUAAGGACCUAAUACAAAACAUAAGGUUAGAGGCCUAUUUUGCUUUUUCAUUGUAAUUGUGAGGGUGUGUAUUUGCUCCUUAACCCUUGUUUAUAUUGAUUUGUGCCGGAUAGAAUGUUGUGAGUGUGUUUGUUUGCAACUAACCCCAUUAUACAUGUGCGUCCUGACCAUUUCCUUGAAAUCAAUUUCUUUUAGCUUUAAAUUUGAUACCCCUCAAUCAUAUUAUUGCUGACAUGUGUUACUUUAGGUUGCUGCAACACCAGAUCUUAUGCUAGCAUAUCUUGAUUUUUUCUUGGAGGCGAUGAAAAGAGAAGUGACCUUCCUCCUUGUCUCAGUCAAAGAUUUCCAAUCUCUCUAAUAUUUGGAGGAAAUGGGAGCUACAUGGCUCCUUUCGCACUUCAUAAUGACAACACCAUCACCAGUAUCAUGAGUCAGGUUUGUUGUCUAAGUACAGGAAACUGAAGACCACUUUUUUGAAUCAAGCAAACUCUGAAAAAGGCAUUUCAUCGGUAUUUAUUAAUAGAUGCAUUAUUCUUCUGAAACACAUCUUUUCUUCAGGCUGUGCCUCCCACUACUUGGUACCGAUUUGUUGGCUGGCUUGAAUGCGCGAUUACGCUUGGCUCACAAGGGUUGUCUGAAAAGGAAGUUUCGCCCAGUCAUUGAAUGGCUCGAAACUUGUGCAAAUCCUAAAUUAAGGAUCUAUGGUGUGCGUGUCGAUCUUGCUUUAUUUCAAGUUACAGUUAGUGGCUACUGCCAGUACGGACUUAUGAUAUAUUCUGCUGAAGAACUGGACCCGGUAUCAUUUGGACAUCCUAAUGAAUCACCUCAGAAUGAACAACAGUCAAGGUAUGCACAGUAUACUUGUGCACAAAUUUAUUUAGUUAUGGUUACAUGCUAUUUUUUGUAUUUUUGUAAUAAUGUAUAAGGUUUAUUGCAAAA
rnacentral:lncRNA from 1 species